rnacentral:tRNA from 1 species
GGAGAAAUGCCGGAGCGGUCGAACGGGGCAGACUCGAAAUCUGUUGGCCGGCUUAGCUGGCCCGGGGGUUCGAAUCCCUCUUUCUCCGC